rnacentral:rRNA from 1 species
AACGAACGCUGGCGGCAUGCCUAACACAUGCAAGUCGAACGGCAGCGCGGGGCAACCUGGCGGCGAGUGGCGAACGGGUGAGUAAUAUAUCGGAACAUACCCUAGAGUGGGGGAUAACGUAGCGAAAGUUACGCUAAUACCGCAUACGCACUAAGGUGGAAAGUGGGGGAUCUUCGGACCUCAUGCUCAUGGAGUGGCCGAUAUCUGAUUAGCUAGUUGGUGAGGUAAAGGCUCACCAAGGCGACGAUCAGUAGCUGGUUUGAGAGAACGACCAGCCACACUGGAACUGAGACACGGUCCAGACUCCUACGAGAGGCAGCAGUGGGGAAUUUUGGACAAUGGGGGGCAACCCUGAUCCAGCAAUGCCGCAUGAGUGAA